rnacentral:rRNA from 1 species
UACAGAGGUCUCAAGCGUUGUUCGGAUUCAUUGGGCGUAAAGGGUGCGUAGGCGGCGCGGUAAGUCGGGUGUGAAAUUUCGGAGCUUAACUCCGAAACUGCAUUCGAUACUGGCGUGCUUGAGGACUGGAGAGGAGACUGGAAUUCAUGGUGUAGCAGCGAAAUGCGUAGAGAUCAUGAGGAAGACCAGUGGCGAAGGCGGGUCUCUGGACAGUUCCUGACACUGAGACACGAAGGCCAGGGGAGCAAACGGG